AGUGAACGCUGGCGGUAGGCCUAACACAUGCAAGUCGAACGGCAGCACAGUAAGAGCUUGCUCUUACGGGUGGCGAGUGGCGGACGGGUGAGGAAUACAUCGGAAUCUACUUUUUCGUGGGGGAUAACGUAGGGAAACUUACGCUAAUACCGCAUACGACCUACGGGUGAAAGCAGGGGAUCUUCGGACUUUGCGCGAUUGAAUGAGCCGAUGUCGGAUUAGCUAGUUGGCGGGGUAAAGGCCCACCAAGGCGACGAUCCGUAGCUGGUCUGAGAGGGUGAUCAGCCACACUGGAACUGAGACACGGUCCAGACUCCUACGGGAGGCAGCAGUGGGGAAUAUUGGACAAUGGGCGAAAGCCUGAUCCAGCCAUACCGCGUGGGUGAAGAAGGCCUUCGGGUUGUAAAGCCCUUUUGUUGGGAAAGAAAAGCAGCAGGUUAAUACCCCGCUGUUCUGACGGUACCCAAAGAAUAAGCACCGGCUAACUUCGUG
rnacentral:rRNA from 1 species